rnacentral:rRNA from 1 species
GACGGAGGAUGCAAGUGUUAUCCGGAAUCACUGGGCGUAAAGCGUCUGUAGGUGGUUCGAAAAGUCCACUGUUAAAAAUUGAGGCUUAACUUCAAAGAUGCCGUGGAAACUUUCAAACUAGAGUAUGGUAGGGGUAGAGGGAAUUUCCAGUGGAGCGGUGAAAUGCGUAGAUAUUGGAAAGACAACCGAUGGCGAAGGCACUCUACUGGGCCAUUACUGACACUGAGAGACGAAAGCUAGGGGAGCAAAUGGG